CACGUUGGAACCUGCCCCAAAGUGAGGAAUAAGCCACCGAAAGGUGGUCUAAUACUUCAUAAUAUCCAUCUCGUAUGGAUUAAAGCUUUAUGCGCUUGGGAGGGGCCUGCGUAACAUUAGCUUGUUGGUGAGGUAAAAGCUCACCAAGGCUUCGAUGUUUAACUGGUUUGAGAGGAUGACCAGUCACACUGGGACUGAGAUACGGCCCAGACUCCUACGGGAGGCAGCAGUAAGGAAUCUUCCACAAUGGGGGCAACCCUGAUGGAGCAAUACCGCGUGCAGGAUGAAGCGUUUCGGCGUGUAAACUGCUUUUAUCACCGAAGAUUAUGACUGUAGGUGAAGAAUAAGGACCGGCUAACUACGUG
rnacentral:rRNA from 1 species